rnacentral:lncRNA from 1 species
UGAGGUCCUUGUUGUUGCUUCGAUUGCACAGAAAGUCCAAUCUGAUGCUAGUAAAAAUGUAAACUUCCCUUGCUUCCUUAUUUUAGAAUCUUUACUCGAUGUUUUUCCCAGAUGCUAAUAGAACUUGCUUCCAAUGCAGAUAAAUUUCAGAUGAUUCGACGUAACAUUUUUCUUUGUUUCUGAUACAAUAAAAACGCGUUAAUAGUUUACUUUAUUUCCAACGCAAUAAAUAAACGUGUCUCGUGGCAACGUAAUU